rnacentral:rRNA from 1 species
UACGAAGGGGGCUAGCGUUAAUCGGAAUUACUGGGCGUAAAGCGUGCGCAGGCGGUGAUGCAAGACAGAUGUGAAAUCCCCGGGCUUAACCUGGGAACUGCAUUUGUGACUGCAUUGCUGGAGUGCGGCAGAGGGGGAUGGAAUUCCGCGUGUAGCAGUGAAAUGCGUAGAUAUGCGGAGGAACACCGAUGGCGAAGGCAAUCCCCUGGGCCUGCACUGACGCUCAUGCACGAAAGCGUGGGGAGCAAACAGG